CCAUCAUUGAAGACUUAAGCGAACUGGCCAAUGAUCUUACACCAGAAAAAUUGUUGGUUGAGAAAAACUGUGCUUCACCGGAGUCGAUUCAUCCUGUUUGUGAUGUGUCCAAGGAGGUGGAUACUCAGGAUGAAGCGGUGAAUGCAGAAGGUGAAGAAACUGCCAUCAUUGAAGACUUAAGCGAACUGGCCAAUGAUCUUACACCAGAAAAAUUGUUGGUUGAGAAAAACUGUGCUUCACCGGAGUCGAUUCAUCCUGUUUGUGAUGUGUCCAAGGAGGUGGAUACUCAGGAUGAAGCGGUGAAUGCAGAAGGUGAAGAAACUGCCAUCAUUGAAGACUUAAGCGAACUGGCCAAUGAUCUUACACCAGAAAAAUUGUUGGUUGAGAAAAACUGUG